CUCCCAGACGCACUCUCUCUCCUGUGUGCAUGCGCUCUUUUCUUUCUCUCUCUCUCUCUCACUCUCCUGCUACCUUCUAAAUAAAAUAGAGCUGUAACACUGAUUUGCCUGAGAGCUGUAGCACGGUUUAUCCAAGACCCUAGAGCUGUGACGCACUGAGGACUUUAAUGUCUGUUGCUCCAAUCUUUGUUGUGACGAGACAAAGACCGGAGGAACAUACACUCACGUGACAUCUAUGGUGCCGUGACACGGAUUUAACCUGGCUGAAACAACCUCCGCGCGGAAGAGGCCAAGCACAGCAGGAGCCACACUCAGCAAAGCUCCCGCACUAGAAGUGGAAGGCCAAGAAACCCAGCUCAGGGGAAGGCCCGUCGUGCUGGAAACCGGGACAGCGAAAAACGAACUCAGCAGAAAGCUCACGUGGCCCAGUCUCAGAUUCCAGAAGACCUCCAAUUAAGGUCAACCAGCUACAACAUGCAGUGCCAGUUCAACAAA